rnacentral:rRNA from 1 species
GUGUCAGCCGCCGCGGUAAUACGUGGGGUGCAAGCGUUGUUCGGAAUUACUGGGCGUAAAGCGCGUGUAGGCGGCGCACUAAGUUCGAUGUGAAAGCCCUGGGCUUAACCCAGGAACUGCAUUGAAAACUGGUGGGCUUGAGUCCGGGAGAGGGUCGCGGAAUUCCUGGUGUAGAGGUGAAAUUCGUAGAUAUCAGGAGGAACACCGGUGGCGAAGGCGGCGACCUGGACCGGUACUGACGCUGAGACGCGAAAGCGUGGGGAGCAAACAGGAUUAGAUACCCUCGUAGUCC